CCUACGGGAGGCAGCAGUGAGGAAUAUUGGUCAAUGGACGAGAGUCUGAACCAGCCAAGUAGCGUGAAGGAUGACUGCCCUAUGGGUUGUAAACUUCUUUUAUAUGGGAAUAAAACGUUCCACGUGUGGGAUUUUGUAUGUACCAUAUGAAUAAGGAUCGGCUAACUCCGUGCCAGCAGCCGCGGUAAUACGGAGGAUCCGAGCGUUAUCCGGAUUUAUUGGGUUGAAAGGGAGCGUAUGUGGAUUGGUAAGUCAGUUGUGAAAGUUUGCGGCUCAACCGUAAAAUUGCAGUUGAAACUGGCAGUCUUGAGUACAGUAGAGGUGGGCGGAAUUCGUGGUGUAGCGGUGAAAUGCUUAGAUAGCACGAAGAACUCCGAUUGCGAAGGCAGUUCACUGGACUGCAACUGACACUGAGGCUCGAAAGUGUGGGUAUCAAACAGGAUUAGAUACCCGAGUAGUC
rnacentral:rRNA from 1 species